GUGUCAGCCGCCGCGGUAAUACAGAGGUCCCAAGCGUUGUUCGGAUUCACUGGGCGUAAAGGGUGCGUAGGUGGCCUGGAAAGUUUGAUGUGAAAGCUCGGAGCUUAACUCCGAAAUGGCAUUGAAUACUACUGGGCUUGAGGGUCGGAGGGGAGACUGGAAUUCUCGGUGUAGCAGUGAAAUGCGUAGAUAUCGAGAGGAACACCAGUGGCGAAGGCGAGUCUCUGGACGACCCCUGACACUGAGGCACGAAAGCUAGGGGAGCAAACAGGAUUAGAUACCCUCGUAGUCC
rnacentral:rRNA from 1 species